CCAACAGCGAUGGCUGCAAACCCUUGGAGGUGGCAUUGCCAAAAGCGGACGUCAAUAGAUGUAAUGCAAAAAUAGUGUCUUGUGUUCAAAAAAGGUUGGGAAAUACUGAGUGAAAGAAUAGUGCACAAACCAUAGGCACACAGCUCAAGGAAUUAUCAGGAAUUGAACAUGUCCACGUGUGCCCAACCCAGCUCUCCAGCACACCUUCCCAGCCUCAACCCAUCAUCUGGAUUCUGAGGAACAGUGCCUGCUGCUCAGUCAAUGCCUGAUGAUGGAGUGAACAGAUUUCUGCUUUCUGUGGCCACCUCUGGGCCACAGAAAGGCCCAGAGGUUACAAGCAACCUCUGGUCUUUGAAGAAGGAGCAAAAGGACAGAGAAGUAUGAAAAGGAGCCCCGUUUGGAUGCACCCACUGAGCACUGAAGGGGAGGACUCUUAGGUGGCCCCAUCCUUUGCAAACAGGCUCAGUGGUUCUCCCGCGCUCACCCCAAGGCCCAGAAUCCAUGCAUACAUGUAGGGUGGGGCAGGCCGGCUCACGCUGACACGUCCAGCCUCUGCCCAGCUCCUCUGCUGGAGUCUCUGCAGGGAAUUUGGCAGAGCUUGGUCAUUCCUUCACUAAUUCAGCCGUUGUAGAAAAGCCACCCAGUUAACAGGUCUGAGCCAUUUCCUCUCAUCCUGGGGACUAGAGGUGACUGCCACUUUGAGGCCAGUUAAGAGUUCUUGGCCCUUCCUGGAAACCCUGCACUGCUGGGAAGUGGGUGGACACACACUUCUGAGAAUGAAUUCCAAGCGAAUUUUCCCAUCAUUUCUUUCCCCCUAGCAGUGCAAGGCUGGGGCACACAGGGAGAGAAUGUCUCUCUCACAUGUCAACUCCCAUGGUCUCAACUAGGCCUCGGGGGAAAGAGAAUGGGGCAUUCCAGGAUGGGAAUUCCAGGGUGGGCAUUCCAAGGAGUAAGAGGAAUUCUGGGAAGGAGGACACUCGUGAUGCAUGCAUGGCCCAUCCAGAAGGUCCAGGAUCAUCUCCCCAGCCCAAGCCUUUAAUCACAUCUGCGAAGACCCCCCUCUUCCUAUAGAAGGUGACACGGUCCCAGGUUCUGGGAAUUAGGACACAGACACCUCUGUUCAGCUGACCACAGCCACUGGGGGACCCACUGUUGAUCCCCCAUCCAUUCUGAUAAAGGCUUUCAUGAUGUCAGAAACCAUGAACAGCUCAUCUCCUGAUCCUCCACUGCGAGUUUGUGAGCAUCUUAGGGGCGACAUCUGAGGGUCCAUCCUGGUGUUGAUGUGUCAUAGGUGUGGGGGCCUGGUCUGAGGCUGAACGCGCAGCAGGACCAGCCUCUGGCCCUCCCCAGCUGGAAGGGGGGAGUUUUGCACAUCUUGCUCUAUAGCUCACUCUCCCCUGCUGCUCCCACUGAGGCAGUGAGUUCCAGACUGCUCUGGGGGUUACAAGCAACCUCCGGUAUUUGCAGAAGGAGAAAAAGGGCAGAGAAGUAUUAAAAGGAGCCCAAUUUGGAUGUAUCCACUGAGCACUGAAGGGGAGAACUCUUAGGUGGCCCUGUCUCUUUGCAAAUAGCCUCAGGCACUGCAGGCCCCUGAGGCAGCCCCCAGCUGGGACCCUCACUCAGCUCAGCUCAGCUCACAACAGGUAGCAGAGCUGUGCCGACCAGGUAGCCUUGCCCUCCUGGGAAGACAGGGACACCUGCACGAGCCUGAGCCCUCUAGUGGAAACAGCAGCCAUCGGCCAUCAGGCCUCUGCAGGCACCUGGUCCCUCCUGUUGUUGUCUGCACAGCCUGCCCCUCCAGGCCGCCCCCACGCCUGGGUUCUGCCUGCACGCCCAGGCUCAGUGGGGAGGAGUGAGCCCAACAACUGUUUCCCAACCCUGUGCAGACAGAGCCCUGGCAUCUCACCGUCCCUUCCAAAUGCCAGAACCCGCCCUGGGCACCCAUGCCCUGAUGGGUCCCAGCCCCGGGUGACGCCCUCCUUGCAUGGAGUAGGGACCCAAGCAUAUGCGGAAACACUGUGGCCGGGCCCAGGCUCUCUCUCAGUUUUGACACUGUUGCAGGCCUGAUGACCCUUGGGGACACAGUCUCACUGGGUGGCAAGAUGUCCAUUCAGAAUAAAAUAAAAUUAAAAAUUAAAUUAAAACUCAACAAGCUCGUGCACAUGCAGUCACCUGCAUAUUUUGCA
rnacentral:lncRNA from 1 species